UACUGGUUGAUCCUGCCAGUAGUCAUAUGCUUGUCUCAAAGAUUAAGCCAUGCAUGUCUAAGUAUAAGCAACUUGUACUGUGAACUGCGAAUGGCUCAUUAAAUCAGUUAUCGUUUAUUUGAUAGUACCUCAACUACUUGGAUAACCGUGGUAAUUCUAUGGCUAAUACAUGCUUAAAAUCCCGACUUUUUUGGGAGGGAUGUGUUUAUUAGGUAAAAAACCAAUGCCUUCGGGCUCCUUUGGUGGAUUCAUAAUAACUUUUCGAAUCGCAUGGCCUUGUGCCGGCGAUGGUUCAUUCAGAUUUCUGCCCUAUCGGCUUUCGAUGGUAGGGUAGAGGCCUACCAUGGUUUUAACGGGUAACGGGGAAUAAGGGUUCUAUUCCGGAGAGGGAGCCUGAGAAACGGCUACCACGUCCAAGGAAGGCAGCAGGCGCGCGAAUUACCCGAUCCCGAGACGGGGAGGUAGUGACAAUAAAUAACAAUGCAGGGCCCUUUCGGGUCUUGUAAUUGGAAUGAGUACAAUUUAAAUACCUUAACGAGGAACAAUUGGAGGGCAAGUCUGGUGCCAGCAGCCGCGGUAAUUCCAGCUCCAAUAGCGUAUAUUAAAGUUGUUGCAGUUAAAAAGCCGUAGUUGAACUUUGAACCUGGUUGAUCGGUCCGCCGCAAAGGCGUGUUACUGGUUUCAACCGGGCUCGUUAACCUUCUGGCUACUGUCAUGCUCUUCAUUGAGUGUGGCAGCGAACCAGGACUUUUACUUUGAAAAAAUUAGAGUGUUCAAAGCAGGCAUUUGCUCGAAUACAUUAGCAUGGAAUAAUAAAAUAGGACGUGUGGUUCUAUUUUGUUGGUUUCUAGGACCGCCGUAAUGAUUAAUAGGGAUAGUUGGGGGCAUUAGUAUUCAAUUGUCAGAGGUGAAAUUCUUGGAUUUAUUGAAGACUAACUACUGGAAAGCAUUUUGCCAAGGAUGUUUUCAUUAAUCAAGAACGAAAGUUAGGGGAUCGAAGACGAUCAGAUACCGUCGUAGUCUUAACCAUAAACUAUGCCGACUAGGGAUCGGGCAAUGUUCUUUUUUUUGACUUGCUCGGCACCUUAUGAGAAAUCAAAGUCUUUGGGUUCCGGGGGGAGUAUGGUCGCAAGGCUGAAACUUAAAGGAAUUGACGGAAGGGCACCACCAGGUGUGUGAGUGCGGCUUAAUUUGACUCAACACGGGGAAACUCACCAGGUCCAGACACGACAAGGAUUGACAGAUUGAUAGCUCUUUCUUGAUCUCGUGGUUGGUGGUGCAUGGCCGUUCUUAGUUGGUGGAGUGAUUUGUCUGGUUAAUUCCGAUAACGAACGAGACCUUAACCUGCUAAAUAGCCCGGCCGACUUUGGUUGGUCGCUGGCUUCUUAGAGGGACUAUCGACGUCUAGUCGAUGGAAGUUUGAGGCAAUAACAGGUCUGUGAUGCCC
rnacentral:rRNA from 1 species